UACAGAGGUCUCAAGCGUUGUUCGGAUUCAUUGGGCGUAAAGGGUGCGUAGGCGGCGCGGUAAGUCGGGUGUGAAAUCUUGGAGCUUAACUCCGAAACUGCAUUCGAUACUGCCGUGCUUGAGGACUGGAGAGGAGACUGGAAUUUUACGGUGUAGCGGUGAAGUGCGUAGAUAUCGUAAGGAAGACCAGUGGCGAAAGGCGGGGUCUCU
rnacentral:rRNA from 1 species